UGAAAGAAACAAGAAGAAUUGAAACUCUAACAAGUGGUAUAAACACACAACUGGGCCAUUGUCUUUCCUUGAAGUGGAAUAUGAAAUGACUAGGGCGAAUGGGGGUGAACUUCCUUCAGAUGUUGUAUGGCUUGUUCAACAUACACACACAAAUGAGCAAGGAGUACUAGAAUGGGUUAAUGACAAACACUCUAAGGAAGUACAUGCACAACUCCAUCAAUUAGUACAAGAUAAGGAUAAAGAAACCGAGGAUGGUCAAGCUCGUCCUUAAACACAAGGUGAAAUGUUACUUCAUUGGCCCAAAGUCUGGUUACACACGAGGCAAAGGUAGUGGGUAUGGAGGGUCUUCCAAAGCAAGAUUACAGCAAGAACAGCAACAAAACUUGCGUAAACAACAAGAUCAGAUUGCUCAACUACAGUGUCAGCUAGAGGCAAGUAAGAAGGAGAUGGAAGAAUAUAAGUUGCAACAACAACGCACCAUUGAAGAUAUGGAGAAACGCCUUAUGAUGAUGAUAAAUGGACAAAGUGCUAAAACUAGAUUGGAUAUUAAUGGUGAUGAUGAUAUCACUCAUUUUGCGUGAGAAGCACAAAGAGAAAAAUCAUGAUUAAAAAACAGAGGAUUUUGUGUAUUAGCUAAGGAGCUUCCUGUCAUAUGCAUGUCAAACUAAUCUUUGACAACUUUUGCCAUCUUUUGGGGUUUUUGUAUCAUGUGACGGCUACAUAGUGACCACCUUUUGUGCAUACCUAACAGGCAUGGUAUAUUGGUAUCUAGAUUUUGACAAUAUUUUUUAUUGUCCAAGUAUUUUGAUUAUGCUAUAACCAUUUACUUCAGCAGUAUGCUAUGCAAGUGUAAGGUGCAAAUACUUACUAUCCUUAUGAAAAUAAUUUUACUUAAAAAUUUCGAUUUAAGUCAAUUUAUAAAUUACAUUUGAACUUAGUUAUAAUACUUUGUAAUCAGUACAUGAAAAUAUUAAAAAUUGUAUGUAUGGACGAUGUUAG